CUACGGGAGGCAGCAGUGGGGAAUCUUAGACAAUGGGCGCAAGCCUGAUCUAGCCAUGCCGCGUGAGUGAUGAAGGCCCUAGGGUCGUAAAGCUCUUUCGCCAGGGAGGGUCGUAAAGCUCUUUCGCCAGGGAUUGAUAAUGACAGUACCUGGUAAAGAAACCCCGGCUAACUCCGUGCCAGCAGCCGCGGUAAUACGGAGGGGGUUAGCGUUGUUCGGAAUUACUGGGCGUAAAGCGCACGUAGGCGGAUUAGUCAGUCAGAGGUGAAAUCCCAGGGCUCAACCCUGGAACUGCCUUUGAUACUGCUAGUCUUGAGUUCGAGAGAGGUGAGUGGAAUUCCGAGUGUAGAGGUGAAAUUCGUAGAUAUUCGGAGGAACACCAGUGGCGAAGGCGGCUCACUGGCUCGAUACUGACGCUGAGGUGCGAAAGUGUGGGGAGCAAACAGGAUUAGAUACCCUGGUAGUCCACACCGUAAACGAUGAAUGCCAGUCGUCGGGCAGUAUACUGUUCGGUGACACACCUAACGGAUUAAGCAUUCCGCCUGGGGAGUACGGUCGCAAGAUUAAA
rnacentral:rRNA from 1 species